GACCUCUUUGACCGGAAGGGUUUCCUUCCAAUCAACGAGGUACAUCCUCGUUGACCAGAAGGAACCCCUUCCGGUCAAAGAGGUC
rnacentral:miRNA from 1 species